GCACACAGAAGGGAGAAGACACUAUGAGAAACCUCACACACAAGGGAGAGAGAGAGAGAGAGAGAGGAUGAAGAUCCAGAGAUAAAACUCAAUCACACCACUGGUCCCCAUCUCCACAGCUGUCCCACCGCAACCCGUUUACACCAUCCAAAGGAAUAGGAAGAAAUCAUAAAAGGGACUCUGGGUACAGAGUGUGAGAGAAGACGUCUGAAUUCAAGAUGACUGCUCCAGAUCCGAUGGCGGAUGGGUGUAGCGUGUGGAGGGCGGAUUAAUUGGAGAUGUGGCUGGUUUCUCCUGCGGAGGGAGAACAGGAAUACGUGUGGCUCCCAGUGGCUCGGCGCAUCGCAUAACCAGUGACCUAGAAAAGGAACACUUAUCACUCCCUGGAGCGGACAGCAGAGGAGCGUCACCGCUAACAAACGCACGUAGCCCAAGUCUGCUGCUGAGCAGAGAAAACAGAGGCAUUGUGGGUAAGCUGGGCGAGCAGGAUGUGAAUGUGAGCCCAAUGAACUGAAGAUGGCAAGAGUUGCAGUGAGUUAUUUGUUUCAAAUAAAAGGAUGUCGACAAAGAUCUGAUACAAUUUAUGACCAUGUGAUCUGGACAUUCAAGGACACAACCUUCUAGGUUUAGUUGUUCAUUCAUUUAUAUAUUUGAGUUAAUAAUUACCGUGUAAAUGUGGUUACUGAUUUACACAUAUAUGUUAUUUGUAUGUUUAGCGACAUGUGACUUAGGAACAGGAAGUGUCGUUGUUGUUGGGAAGCGGACGAAAUGUGUAGAGAAGUAAAAA